CGGAUUGUAGUCUGCAACCCGACUACAUGAAGCUGGAAUCGCUAGUAAUCGCGAAUCAGAAUGUCGCGGUGAAUACGUUCCCGGGUCUUGUACACACCGCCCGUCACACCAUGGGAGUCGGAUAUGCCCGAAGCCGGUGACCUAACCGCAAGGAAGGAGCCGUCGAAGGUGGAGCCGAUGACUGGGGUGAAGUCGUAACAAGGUACC
rnacentral:rRNA from 1 species